GCGGCGCGGCCUUCAAAUCCGGCGUGCGGGUCGGA
rnacentral:tRNA from 14 species